rnacentral:piRNA from 1 species
UGGAUGUUACACAUGUUUCUUCCUUUGGAAAAC